UAACAAGGUUUCCAUAGGUGAACUUGCGAAAGGAUCAUCGCCGAGACCCA
rnacentral:rRNA from 1 species